rnacentral:rRNA from 1 species
UACGGAGGGGGCUAGCGUUGUUCGGAAUUACUGGGCGUAAAGGGCGCGCAGGCGGCUGCUCAAGUCAGGCGUGAAAGCCCAGGGCUCAACCCUGGAAUUGCCUUCGAUACUGUUUGGCUAGAGACCGGAAGAGGUAAGUGGAACUGCGAGUGUAGAGGUGAAAUUCGUAGAUAUUCGCAAGAACACCAGUGGCGAAGGCGGCUUACUGGUCCGGUUCUGACGCUGAGGCGCGAAAGCGUGGGGAGCAAACAGG